rnacentral:rRNA from 1 species
GGGCCCGCACAAGCGGUGGAGUAUGUGGUUUAAUUCGAUGCAACGCGAAGAACCUUACCAGGGUUUGACAUCCUGCGAAUCUCUUGGAAACAGGAGAGUGCCUUCGGGAACGCAGUGACAGGUGGUGCAUGGCUGUCGUCAGCUCGUGUCGUGAGAUGUUGGGUUAAGUCCCGCAACGAGCGCAACCCACGUCUUUAGUUGCCAGCAGUUCGGCUGGGCACUCUAGAGAGACUGCCGGUGAUAAACCGGAGGAAGGUGUGGAUGACGUCAAGUCAUCAUGCCCCUUACAUCCUGGGCUACACACGUACUACAAUGCUACGGACAAAGGGCUGCAAGUUCGCGAGGACAAGCAAAUCCCAUAAACCGUGGCUCAGUUCAGAUCGUAGGCUGCAACUCGCCUACGUGAAGGCGGAAUCGCUAGUAAUCG